rnacentral:rRNA from 1 species
ACGCUCGACACCUACGGGAGGCAGCAGUGGGGAAUAUUGGGCAAUGGGCGCAAGCCUGACCCAGCAACGCCGCGUGAAGGAUGAAGGCUUUCGGGUUGUAAACUUCUUUUAACAGGGACGAAAUAAAUGACGGUACCUGUUGAAUAAGCCACGGCUAACUACGUGCCACAGCCGCGGUAAUCUGAGCGGGCUGGCAAGGC